CAGUCGCCGCGGGAAUACGAAGGGUGCAAGCGUUAAUCGGAAUUACUGGGCGUAAAGGGCGCGUAGGUGGUUAUUUAAGUGAGAUGUGAAAGCCCCGGGCUUAACCUGGGAACUGCAUCUUAUACUGGGUAACUGGAGUGCAGUAGAGGGUAGUGGAAUUUCCGGUGUAGCGGUGAAAUGCGUAGAUAUCGGAAGGAACACCAGUGGCGAAGGCGGCUACCUGGACUGAGACUGACACUGAGGCGCGAGAGCGUGGGGAGCAAACAGGAUUAGAUACCCGCGUAGUCCCUGUCUCUUAUAC
rnacentral:rRNA from 1 species